rnacentral:rRNA from 1 species
AUUUAACGCUGGCGGCAGGCCUAACACAUGCAAGUCGAGCGAGCGGCGGACGGGUGAGUAAUGUAUGGGGACUGCCCGAUAGAGGGGGAUAACUACUGGAAACGGUAGCUAAUACCGCAUACUAUCGGAUAACCCAUAUGGGAUUAGCUAGUAGGUGAGGUAAUGGCUCACCUAGGCGACGAUCCCUAGCUGGUCUGAGAGGAUGAUCAGCCACACGGGGACGUAGACACGGCCCAGACGCCUACGGAGGCAGCAGUGGGGAAUAUUGCACAAUGGGCGCAAGCCUGAUGCAGCCAUGCCGCGGGUAUGAAGAAGGCCCUAGGGUUGUAAAGCACUUUCAGUCGGGAGGCGUUCCCGACCUAAGAAGCACCGGCUAACUCCGUGCCAGCAGCCGCGGUAAUUC